GAUGAACGCUAGCGGCAGGCCUAACACAUGCAAGUCGAACGAGACCUUCGGUCGUAGUGGCGCACGGGUGCGUAACGCGUAGGCAAUCUACCCGAUACAGGGAAGUAACACGGGGAAACGUCGUGCUAAUACCGCGUAAUAAAUGAGAAGGCAUCUUCUUAUUUUAAAAGCUUGGCGGCAUCGGAAGAGCCUGCGUCCUAUUAGCUAGUUGGUAAGGUAAUGGCUU
rnacentral:rRNA from 1 species